AUGUCCCUGAGCAUCCUUUCCUGCAGAACAAAUUGUAUCCUAACCAGCUGUGUUAACUAUUCAGAACAGCUUCCAUCCCGUUACAUAAACAAAUGCUUUCUGCCCUUUCAAUCAGGAUCUCCCUGGAGCUGCUCCUUACUAUCUCCAUCCUCCCAUGUGCUAUGGAGGCCUGAUGCUGUCAAGGACCAUGCACCUUUUGGGGUGCUUGGCACUGAAAUGCCCAUGAAGCCUUUACUGUUAAUCAAGAGGGGAAGAUUAGAGGAGAUCAGAACUACCAGCCUGAAGAACGCUUUGCAUUUGACUACACCUUUCUACCAGCAUGUUUUUCUGCUGAAAUCUCUGCAGGGAGAAGUUCUCCAGGUAAGGCUACAUCUGCAGCCUGAGCUCUCCCCUUCUAAAUUCUAACUAAGCCAUCUCAUACUGAUUUUUG
rnacentral:lncRNA from 1 species